UCCUGAGGCCUCCCCAGCCAUGCUUCCUGUACAGCCCAUGUAACUCUACUCACACUGUACUUACUGCACAAAAGAGGCCAAAUUGGCAUGGCUUUCGACUAUCUCUGCAAAAUCCAUUUGGAUCCAUUUCUGCAACUGUGAUCUACUAUCAACCUGGGGGGCAAAGGAGAAAUCAGCCCCAGGAGCGUGGAAACCACUAUACUUAAAACUAUAUCCUUUGCUUAUUUAUUUCAAGUAAAAGGCCACACAGACACAGAAAAUUAGAAGGCUCGUGAAAUAAGAUUUAAGUUCCAUUCUGGUUACAGGGUCCUCCCUGAUGUUCAAUCCUAGAGGCUAUACCUCCCACUCUUGAAGAAUUUCCAAACCUUCCAGGCCCAGGAGAGUUUUCCAUGUUGAAAGAUUGCAGGAUGGGACCCCAUAACAAUCCCCCAAAAGUUCAGGCUGAAAUUACAUGCAGGCCAAGUCUGUAUGAUGCAGCCCUCUGUAAUUGUUGGGUCUCUUCCAGAAGGCUCUCAACACAUGGGACUCCGAUGAAGUUCAGCAUGUGGAAAGGGCUGAAGCUUGAAGCCUGUGUAUUUGUAAUGGAAACACAGCAGUGACCCCAUGAUCCAGUGCCUUGUGAAGAAGAUGCAUGCUUCCCUUUCUGCCAUGAUUGAAAGUUUCCUGAGGCCUCCCCAGCCUUGCAGAACUGAAAAAGAAGAAUUCUUUAAUUGAAAAAUAGGCAAAGAAUACAAAGAGGCAAAUUACAAAAGGAAAAUAAAC
rnacentral:lncRNA from 1 species